rnacentral:rRNA from 1 species
UACGGGGGGAGCAAGCGUUGUUCGGAUUUACUGGGCGUAAAGGGCGCGUAGGCGGUCGUGACAAGUCACUUGUGAAAUCUCCGGGCUUAACUCGGAACGGUCAAGUGAUACUGUCGGACUAGAGUACAGAAGGGGCAACUGGAAUUCUCGGUGUAGCGGUGAAAUGCGCAGAUAUCAGGAGGAACACCGGUGGCGAAGGCGGGUCUCUGGGCCGAUACUGACGCUGAGACGCGAAAGCGUGGGGAGCGAACAGG